rnacentral:rRNA from 1 species
AUGGACCCGGCGUCCUCCUCCUCGUCCGGCCGCUCGUCCGGCUCUCCCUCCCUCCUCCCCGUCAAGCCGGAGCCCCAGGAAGCGCCGAUCAGCCGGCGCACCCGCAGCUGCGGCGUCCGCAUCGCCGAGUCCUCCCCCACCUCUGCCCGGCUCGUCAGGCCGAAGGUGGAGUCCGGCCUCCCCGCGGAGUACGAGGCCAUAGCCCGGCGCGGCUUCUCUGAUGAGGCCGCCCUAAAGUGGGCGCGGGAUGACUACCUCCGCGACGAGAUGGUCCGGCAGCGCCGAGCCCUGCAGGAGAUAGCCGUCCGCCAGCGUGGGCGCGAGGACGAGAACGGCAUGGUGAUCCUCGACAGCGACAAGGACGAGGACGUCCCUAGACCGUCCAACCCGCCGCGCGUCGGCGACCCUGGGCAGGGGAGCAGCAGGGAUGGCGGCCGCGGAGGAGGCGACGCCGACGACUUUAGUUAA